AUUUUCUCAUAAAUCUGCCCGAAGUUUCUUGAUUUUUCCUAGCGUUUGCCCGAAUUUCCACGGUUCGGUUUUCCAAAAUUUUGGGGGGCAGUUGCCCCCCCCCCCGUCCCCCCUGUCUCGUACGCCUAUGUCAAUAAGGCAUUUACAACAUGAACAUAAUAAGUGAAAGUGUGAAAGUGAAAGAAACUUUAAAGAAAGCGUGCUAAUUCUCGUAUUUUACUCGUAUGUACUCGUAUUUUACUCGUAUGUACUCGUAUUUACUCGUAUGUUACUCGUGUGUA